GUUCCCAUUUUCCUACCGCUUUUCAAUGUCUAGGUUAAGUGGCUAUGCUUAUAGGAUAGAAGAAACUUGCCACAGUCUGAGGGAAAAGUCUCAGAGAGCGGUGGGGAGAUGGGGAAGGGGCAAUGGUCAGUAUGGGCAUGUAAUGGGUGCAGAUUCAUAG
rnacentral:snoRNA from 1 species